UGCUAUCUUGAGAAAUCUAGACAUUUUGA
rnacentral:piRNA from 1 species